UGGGGGAUUAGUGGCGAACGGGUGAGUAACACGUGAGUAACCUGCCCUUGACUCUGGGAUAAGCCUGGGAAACUGGGUCUAAUACCGGAUAUGACUCCUCAUCGCAUGGUGGGGGGUGGAAAGCUUUUGUGGUUUUGGAUGGACUCGCGGCCUAUCAGCUUGUUGGUGGGGUAAUGGCCUACCAAGGCGACGACGGGUAGCCGGCCUGAGAGGGUGACCGGCCACACUGGGACUGAGACACGGCCCAGACUCCUACGGGAGGCAGCAGUGGGGAAUAUUGCACAAUGGGCGCAAGCCUGAUGCAGCGACGCCGCGUGAGGGAUGACGGCCUUCGGGUUGUAAACCUCUUUCAGUAGGGAAGAAGCGUAAGUGACGGUACCUGCAGAAGAAGCGCCGGCUAACUACGUGCCAGCAGCCGCGGUAAUACGUAGGGCGCAAGCGUUAUCCGGAAUUAUUGGGCGUAAAGAGCUCGUAGGCGGUUUGUCGCGUCUGCUGUGAAAGACCGGGGCUCAACUCCGGUUCUGCAGUGGGUACGGGCAGACUAGAGUGCAGUAGGGGAGACUGGAAUUCCUGGUGUAGCGGUGAAUGCGCAGAUAUCAGGAGGAACACCGAUGGCGAAGGCAGGUCUCUGGGCUGUAACUGACGCUGAGGAGCGAAAGCAUGGGGAGCGAACAGGAUUAGAUACCCUGGUAGUCCAUGCCGUAAACGUUGGGCACUAGGUGUGGGGGACAUUCCACGUUUUCCGCGCCGUAGCUAACGCAUUAAGUGCCCCGCCUGGGGAGUACGGCCGCAAGGCUAAAACUCAAAGGAAUUGACGGGGGCCCGCACAAGCGGCGGAGCAUGCGGAUUAAUUCGAUGCAACGCGAAGAACCUUACCAAGGCUUGACAUGAACCGGAAAGACCUGGAAACAGGUGCCCCGCUUGCGGUCGGUUUACAGGUGGUGCAUGGUUGUCGUCAGCUCGUGUCGUGAGAUGUUGGGUUAAGUCCCGCAACGAGCGCAACCCUCGUUCUAUGUUGCCAGCGG
rnacentral:rRNA from 1 species